rnacentral:rRNA from 1 species
AUCCUGGCUCAGGAUGAACGCUGGCGGCGUGCUUAAUACAUGCAAGUCGAACGAAGCACUUACGACAGAUCCCCUCGGGGUGAAGAUGUUGUGACUUAGUGGCGGACGGGUGAGUAACGCGUGGGUAACCUGCCUCAUGCAGGGGGAUAACAGUUAGAAAUGACUGCUAAUACCGCAUAAGCGCACGGAUUCGCAUGUUUCUGUGUGAAAAGAUUUAUCGGCAUGAGAUGGACCCGCGUCUGAUUAGGUAGUUGGUGAGGUAACGGCCCACCAAGCCCGCGAUCAGUAGCCGACUUGAGAGAGUGAUCGGCCACAUUGGGACUGAGACACGGCCCAGACUCCUACGGGAGGCAGCAGUAGGGAAUAUUGCACAAUGGGGGAAACCCUGAUGCCAGCGACGCCGCGUGAGUGAAGAAGUAUUUCGGUAUGUAAAGCCCUAUCAGCAGGGAAGAUAAUGACGGUACCUGAAUAAGAAGCCCCGGCUAACUACGUGCCAGCCGCCGC